CUCAUACCCAGUAAGAAGAUAUCAAGAGGAUGCUUGGAGAAGAGAGAAGGCAUGUCCUGAAACGCAUCCUCCACAAGGUGGAUGUGUAAAGUUGUUGCAGCUACAGUAUGGAGCACAAGUAAGCGACCUUGGAAAGUCGGAGGUAUCCUGCGGCUUGAUGAGGAAUGAACGUCUGAAGACCGAAUGCAGACCGUCUGUCCUGGACUGAGAAGCAGACAGGUGGACUGUUGAGAUUUGCAUUGACAGCGACAAAAGCUGACAGGUUUAAAACCUAGAGUAAAUUGUUUUGGAGGUAAAAUUGAGGAGGCACGGCUUAGAUAGUUUAGGCAUUUGCGUAGGAGGAACAAUGGAUCCUUAACAAGGCAAUUUAACGUGUUCGUGUGACAGAUGAAAUUGUUAGAGACGGUGAGAUGAAAGUAGAUGAUAGACUGGGCCACCAAUUGACUUUGGCCAUUUAUUUGAUUGUCACAUCAUUUUAAGAAUCACAGCACACUGUAGUUUAUUCCAGGACAUGAUGUUUAUUUUACAACUAAGGAUAAAAGGAUGCCAUUUAGAAUAACUGGUCAUGACAAAAAACCUGGGAGUUUUGAGAGCAAAUUUCUUUUUUCAAGCUUAUAUACAGUCAUGGACAUCACAUCAGAUGUCGUUAUCUUCAUUUUAUAUAAACCACGUUGAGCGACCAACAAUUCACUGAAAAAAACUGACAUUUUUGGUCCAACAAUAUUCCGUAGCUUUACACCCACACCCCUGAACUGGUCUAGAAAAUAACACUGUAAAAAUGCACACAGUACAAAUAAUACUGAACUUGUAAGUAGCAAGAUAUGCCAACAUACAUUUUUUUUUUUUGGAUUAUUUACACAUUAAAUUUUCAACUUCGUUAACUUUACAAGCUUAGCUCCUUCAUGAUAAAUUGGCGGACUACUUAGUAAGUACUGUACAUGUUAAAAAGAGAACAUUAAAAUAUUUUUUUUAAUUGAGGAAAAACAGGCAUUUCUAAUAUAUCUGUGGUAUAAUGGCAAACAAUAAUACAGUGUGAGAAAGGGCCUUAAAAACCAAACUUCAUCUUUUUUUUAAUUUUCCAUCAAAUUUUUCUUCAUUGGUUCACACUCACUGAAAGUGCAGAAACAUUUUAGAAUACCAUCCAACUUUAGACAAGUAUCUUUUUCCCAAAACUUUGUUCAACAGGGACACCAGUCAAGUCAUUCUGAAU